AUCUUAACUGCUGCCAGUUCUUUGAGUCCGCGCUGUUUUUAUGAGCUAUAAUACUGACUGCAGAGGUUUACCGCUUCACUCCUGAGACCAUGAGUCCCCUGGGAGGAAUGAGCAAAUGUGGACUUGCGACCUUAAGAGCUCUAAGAGCUGUAACAGUCACCGUGAAGGUCUGCAGCUUCACUUCUGAAGCCAGCGAGACUACGAAGCUAGCAGAAGGAAGAAACUCCGAACACGUCCGAACAGCGGAAGGAGCAAACUUUGGACGUAUCGUCUUUAAGAACUGUAAUACUCACCAUGAGUGUCUGCAGUUUCAUUCUUGAAGUCAGUGAGACCGAGAACGGACACAGCACUAGGUCCAGAUUGGCAAGGAAGCACCCUGGGCUUGCUCAACCGAGAGAGAUGGGAACUGGGAGGGCAACCUUAAGGAAUGGUGUGACCCAGAGGCUGGGCCAGGGGGUGGAACCAUGAAGGUCAAGCGUAAAUCUUGGUUCAUUCUACCUCUGUUUGUCACCACUCUUGCUGUGAUUCCAACAACAUUUCCUAUGUGUGAAAACAUUUUGAGAGAAGACUCAUGAGAAUCAGUUCACAAACUUACAAGCAAGAGUUCAGAAAAGUUCCAACAUAAAAAGAUGUACAAGCAUGGCAACAUCUUGGCUUCUGGUGAGGACCUAAAGAAGCUUACCAUCAUGGUGAAAGGUGAAGCAGGAGCAGGUGGAAUUCAUGGUGGAUUCUUUUGAUGGGGAUUUUCCUGCUUUGAAAGGAAAUAAUAGGACAUUUUCAAUGUGGAACAGGGCUGAGGUUCUGACUGCUGGCCUAUAAGAACAUCAUUUUAUUACAUGUAGAAGAUUCGUGUAAUUACUACAAUCAAGUUACAAAACUGUCCUAUCAUCACAAGACUCCAUUGUGUUAUCCAUUUGUAGCCCCAACCACUCCCUAUGUCUCCACACCCUUCCCCUAACCCCAUUAUUCCUAAC